UUAGUGGGGGACAACAUUUCGAAAGGAAUGCUAAUACCCGCAUACGUCCUACGGGAGAAAGCAGGGGAUCUUCGGACCUUUGCGCUAAUAGAUGAGCGUAAGUCGGAUUAGCUAGUUGGUGGGGUAAAGGCCUACCAAGGCGACGAUCUGUAGCGGGUCUGAGAGGAUGAUCCGCCACACUGGGACUGAGACACGGCCCAGACUCCUACGGGAGGCAGCAGUGGGGAAUAUUGGACAAUGGGCGCAAGCCUGAUCCAGCCAUGCCGCGUGUGUGAAGAAGGCCUUAUGGUUGUAAAGCACUUUAAGCGAGGAGGAGGCUACUUUAGAUAAUACCUAGAGAUAGUGGACGUUACUCGCAGAAUAAGCACCGGCUAACUCUGUGCCAGCAGCCGCGGUAAUACAGAGGGUGCAAGCGUUAAUCGGAUUUACUGGGCGUAAAGCGCGCGUAGGCGGCUAAUUAAGUCAAAUGUGAAAUCCCCGAGCUUAACUUGGGAAUUGCAUUCGAUACUGGUUAGCUAGAGUGUGGGAGAGGAUGGUAGAAUUCCAGGUGUAGCGGUGAAAUGCGUAGAGAUCUGGAGGAAUACCGAUGGCGAAGGCAGCCAUCUGGCCUAACACUGACGCUGAGGUGCGAAAGCAUGGGGAGCAAACAGGAUUAGAUACCCUGGUAGUCCAUGCCGUAAACGAUGUCUACUAGCCGUUGGGGCCUUUGAGGCUUUAGUGGCGCAGCUAACGCGAUAAGUAGACCGCCUGGGGAGUACGGUCGCAAGACUAAAACUCAAAUGAAUUGACGGGGGCCCGCACAAGCGGUGGAGCAUGUGGUUUAAUUCGAUGCAACGCGAAGAACCUUACCUGGCCUUGACAUAGUAAGAACUUUCCAGAGAUGGAUUGGUGCCUUCGGGAACUUACAUACAGGUGCUGCAUGGCUGUCGUCAG
rnacentral:rRNA from 1 species